UAGCGUUGUUCGGAAUUACUGGGCGUAAAGCGCGCGCAGGCGGUCCUUUAAGUCUGAUGUGAAAGCCCACGGCUCAACCGUGGAGGGUCAUUGGAAACUGGGGGACUUGAGUGCAGGAGAGAAGAGUGGAAUUCCACGUGUAGCGGUGAAAUGCGUAGAGAUGUGGAGGAACACCAGUGGCGAAGGCGGCCAGCUGGGCCGGAUCCGACGCUGAGGCGCGAAAGCGUGGGGAGCAAACAGG
rnacentral:rRNA from 1 species